GAAAGAGAUGGCUGCCAUAAGCGUGUAUGGUUGUCGCGCUUUAACUUCUCCCCGGAUCUCCGGCUUCAAGCCCUCAAUGAAGGUCCCCAAUAGCUGUUUUUCAGACUAAUCACGAGUUUGAUUAGAUAACCUUUCAAACCUGGUUUGGUACUCCUGAAUGGUGGAGGUUUGUCGGAUCUUUGCUAGUUGUCCGUCAAUGUUCUCGUAAUCGGUUGGUCCGAAGCGGAUCAGCAGUCCUUCUUUAAAUUGUC
rnacentral:lncRNA from 1 species